rnacentral:tRNA from 1 species
UCCCUGGUGGUCCAGUGGUUAAGACUGCACUUCCAAUGCAGGGGCAUGGGUUCAAUCCCUGAUUGGGGAA